AUACGUAGGGGGCGAGCGUUGUCCGGAAUGACUGGGCGUAAAGGGCGCGUAGGCGGCCUGGUAAGUUAGGAGUGAAAUUCCAUUUUUCAAGGAUGGACGUGCUCUUAAUACUGUCGGGCUAGAGUGCAGAAGAGGUAAGCGGAAUUCCCAGUGUAGCGGUUAAAUGCGUAGAGAUUGGGAAGAACACCAGUGGCGAAGGCGGCUUACUGGGCUGUAACUGACGCUGAGGCGCGAAAGCGUGGGGAGCGAACAGGAUUAGAUACCCUGGUAGUCCACGCUGUAAACGAUGAAUGCUAGGUGUAGGGGGUAUCGACCCCUCCUGUGCCGGAGUAAACGCAAUAAGCAUUCCGCCUGGGGAGUACGGCCGCAAGGUUGAAACUCAAAGGAAUUGACGGGG
rnacentral:rRNA from 1 species